CCUACGGGAGGCAGCAGUGGGGAAUUGUUCACAAUGGGCGCAAGCCUGAUGACGCAACGCCGCGUGGGGGAUGAAGGUCUUCGGAUCGUAAACCCCUGUCGAAUGGGACGAAAGACUCGCGAGUUAAUACUUUGCGAGAGUGACGGUACCGUUAAAGGAAGCCACGGCUAACUCUGUGCCAGCAGCCGCGGUAAUACAGAGGUGGCAAGCGUUGUUCGGAAUUACUGGGCGUAAAGGGCGCGUAGGCGGCCUUCUAAGUCAGACGUGAAAUCCCCCGGCUUAACCUGGGAACUGCGUCUGAUACUGGGAGGCUUGAGUAUGGGAGAGGGAUGUAGAAUUCCAGGUGUAGCGGUGAAAUGCGUAGAUAUCUGGAGGAAUACCGGUGGCGAAGGCGGCAUCCUGGACCAUAACUGACGCUGAGGCGCGAAAGCUAGGGGAGCAAACGGGAUUAGAUACCCCGGUAGUCCCUAGCCCUAAACGAUGAAUACUUGGUGUGGCGGGUAUCGAUCCCUGCCGUGCCGAAGCUAACGCAUUAAGAUUCCGCUGGGGAUCGGUGCAAGGCUGAACUCAAAGGAUUGACGG
rnacentral:rRNA from 1 species